GAUGAACGCUGGCGGCGUGCCUAAUACAUGCAAGUCGAGCGAACGGACGAGAAGCUUGCUUCUCUGAUGUUAGCGGCGGACGGGUGAGUAACACGUGGAUAACCUACCUAUAAGACUGGGAUAACUUCGGGAAACCGGAGCUAAUACCGGAUGAUAUUUUGAACCGCAUGGUUCAAAAGUGAAAGACGGUCUUGCUGUCACUUAUAGAUGGAUCCGCGCUGCAUUAGCUAGUUGGUAAGGUAACGGCUUACCAAGGCAACGAUGCAUAGCCGACCUGAGAGGGUGAUCGGCCACACUGGAACUGAGACACGGUCCAGACUCCUACGGGAGGCAGCAGUAGGGAAUCUUCCGCAAUGGGCGAAAGCCUGACGGAGCAACGCCGCGUGAGUGAUGAAGGUCUUCGGAUCGUAAAACUCUGUUAUUAGGGAAGAACAUAUGUGUAAGUAACUGUGCACAUCUUGACGGUACCUAAUCAGAAAGCCACGGCUAACUACGUGCCAGCAGCCGCGGUAAUACGUAGGUGGCAAGCGUUAUCCGGGAUUAUUGGGCGUAAAGCGCGCGUAGGCGGUUUUUUAAGUCUGAUGUGAAAGCCCACGGCUCAACCGUGGAGGGUCAUUGGAAACUGGAAAACUUGAGUGCAGAAGAGGAAAGUGGAAUUCCAUGUGUAGCGGUGAAAUGCGCAGAGAUAUGGAGGAACACCAGUGGCGAAGGCGACUUUCUGGUCUGUAACUGACGCUGAUGUGCGAAAGCGUGGGGAUCAAACAGGAUUAGAUACCCUGGUAGUCCACGCCGUAAACGAUGAGUGCUAAGUGUUAGGGGGUUUCCGCCCCUUAGUGCUGCAGCUAACGCAUUAAGCACUCCGCCUGGGGAGUACGACCGCAAGGUUGAAACUCAAAGGAAUUGACGGGGACCCGCACAAGCGGUGGAGCAUGUGGUUUAAUUCGAAGCAACGCGAAGAACCUUACCAAAUCUUGACAUCCUUUGACAACUCUAGAGAUAGAGCCUUCCCCUUCGGGGGACAAAGUGACAGGUGGUGCAUGGUUGUCGUCAGCUCGUGUCGUGAGAUGUUGGGUUAAGUCCCGCAACGAGCGCAACCCUUAAGCUUAGUUGCCAUCAUUAAGUUGGGCACUCUAAGUUGACUGCCGGUGACAAACCGGAGGAAGGUGGGGAUGACGUCAAAUCAUCAUGCCCCUUAUGAUUUGGGCUACACACGUGCUACAAUGGACAAUACAAAGGGCAGCGAAACCGCGAGGUCAAGCAAAUCCCAUAAAGUUGUUCUCAGUUCGGAUUGUAGUCUGCAACUCGACUACAUGAAGCUGGAAUCGCUAGUAAUCGUAGAUCAGCAUGCUACGGUGAAUACGUUCCCGGGUCU
rnacentral:rRNA from 1 species